rnacentral:rRNA from 1 species
CCUACGGGAGGCAGCAGUGGGGAAUAUUGGACAAUGGGCGGAAGCCUGAUCCAGCCAUGCCGCGUGUGUGAAGAAGGCCUUUUGGUUGUAAAGCACUUUAAGCGAGGAGGAGGCUACUAGUAUUAAUACUACUGGAUAGUGGACGUUACUCGCAGAAUAAGCACCGGCUAACUCUGUGCCAGCAGCCGCGGUAAUACAGAGGGUGCGAGCGUUAAUCGGAUUUACUGGGCGUAAAGCGUGCGUAGGCGGCUGAUUAAGUCGGAUGUGAAAUCCCUGAGCUUAACUUAGGAAUUGCAUUCGAUACUGGUCAGCUAGAGUAUGGGAGAGGAUGGUAGAAUUCCAGGUGUAGCGGUGAAAUGCGUAGAGAUCUGGAGGAAUACCGAUGGCGAAGGCAGCCAUCUGGCCUAAUACUGACGCUGAGGUACGAAAGCAUGGGGAGCAAACAGGAUUAGAUACCCUGGUAGUCCAUGCCGUAAACGAUGUCUACUAGCCGUUGGGGUCUUUGAGACUUUAGUGGCGCAGCUAACGCGAUAAGUAGACCGCCUGGGGAGUCGGUCGCAAGACUAAAACGUUAAAGGAAUUGACGGCUUGAGGACCGNGCGAGGCGACGACGAGGGAGGAGG